rnacentral:lncRNA from 1 species
UCCGCCGUCCCUCACCGAUCUUUGAUGUUUUUCCUCUAGAUCUUUCAAGUUUUUCAUUUGUUUUAACUUUGUUUUGAAAAUUUGAGCUUUUGAGCAAAGUUUUGGAGCUUGGAGGUUCAAGAACCCAAUCUCUCCCACCUCCGAGUUUUAGGUCGUCUCUCUCUCGAUCUUCAAGAGGUAAGAGCCGAUCUUAAGCUUAUUAUAUGUUUUAAGUAAGU